rnacentral:ncRNA from 2 species
CAUCUUCGCUGGGGGUGUUGCCCCGACCCUUGUGGCCGGUGCGACUGAGAAAGUCCCUUUGAACCUGAUUGAGGUAAUCCUCGCGCAGGGAAGCAGCCGGAUCCGGGC